GGGUGGGUUGGCUCAGUGGUUACAGCGUAGGUUUCGUAUCCGAAAGGUUGUGGGGUCGAAUCCCGCUAGAGCUG
rnacentral:tRNA from 1 species